AGCAGCGGGAGGAGGCGGCGGCGGCGGCUAGCGAGGAGACAGAGCUGGGUCCUGCAGUAGGACUCCCGGGAGCCACCAUUAUGGUGAAGAGGAAGAGCUCCGAGGGCCAGGAGCAGGACGGCGGCCGCGGCAUCCCCCUGCCCAUCCAGACCUUCCUGUGGCGGCAAACCAGUGCAUUUUUGAGGCCCAAACUGGGGAAGCAAUAUGAAGCUUCUUGUGUGUCCUUUGAGCGAGUGUUGGUAGAAAACAAGCUGCAUGGCCUCUCUCCAGCUCUCUCUGAAGCCAUCCAGAGCAUUUCCAGAUGGGAACUGGUGCAAGCUGCUUUGCCUCAUGUCCUCCACUGCACUGCAACCCUGCUUUCAAACCGAAACAAGCUAGGCCACCAGGAUAAAUUGGGUGUUGCUGAGACAAAGCUCCUUCACACUCUACACUGGAUGCUUCUGGAGGCCCCCCAGGACUGCAACAAUGAGCGGUUUGGGGGUACAGACCGAGGCUCCAGCUGGGGUGGAAGCAGCAGUGCUUUCAUCCACCAGGUUGAAAACCAGGGUUCUCCAGGGCAGCCUUGCCAAAGCAGCUCUAAUGACGAAGAAGAGAACAACCGAAGAAAGAUCUUCCAGAACUCCAUGGCUACUGUGGAGCUCUUCGUGUUUCUGUUUGCUCCCCUGGUACACAGGAUCAAGGAAUCUGACCUCACCUUCCGUCUGGCCAGUGGGCUUGUUAUAUGGCAGCCCAUGUGGGAACACAGACAGCCCGAAGUCUCUGGCUUUACCGCACUGGUGAAGCCCAUCAGGAACAUCAUUACAGCUAAGAGAAGUUCUCCUAUCAACAGUCAAAGCCAGACCUGUGAAUCACCAAAUCAAGAUGCAAGACACUUAGAGGGACUCCAGGUGGUUUGUGAAACAUUCCAGUCUGAUUCCAUCUCACCCAAGGCCACCAUUUCAGGCUGUCACCGAGGAAACUCCUUUGAUGGAAGUCUGUCCUCCCAAACUUCCCAGGAAAGAGGCCCAUCACAUUCCAGAAGCACCUUUCACCUCCCACCAUGAUUCUGAGGCCUUCUCAGCCAUGUGGAACUGUAACUCCAAUUAAACUUAUUUAUGUUUCCAGUUUGGGGUAUUUAUCAGCAGCAUGAAAAUGAACUAAUAUAGUAAAUUGGUACCAGUAGAGUGGGGCAUUGCUGAAAAGAUACCCAAAAGUGUGGAAGCAACUUGGGAACUGGGUAACAGGCAGAGAUUGGGACAGUUUGAAGAGCUCAGAAGAAGACAGGGAAGUGUGGGAAAGUUUGGAACUUUACCUCGAGACUUGUUGAAUGGCUUUGCCCAAAAUGCUGAUAGCGACAUAGACAAUAAAACCAGGCUGAGGUGGUCUCAGAUGGAGAUGAGGAACUUGUAGGGAACUGGAGCAAAGGUGACUCUUGUUAUGUUUUAGCAAAGAGACUGGUGGCAUUUUGCCCCUGUCCUAGAGAUUUUUGGAACUUUGAACUUGAGAGAGAUGAUUUAGGUUACCUGGUGGAAGAAAUUUCUAAACAGCAAAGCAUUCAAGAGGUGACUUGGAUACUGUUAAAGGCAUUCAGUUUUAAAAGGGAAACAGAGCAUAAAAGUUCAGAAAAUUUGCAGCCUGACCAUGCAACAGAAAAGAAAAACCAAUUUUCUGGGGAGAAAUUCAAGCCAACUGCAGAAAUUUGCAUAAGUAAGGAGCAAGGAGCCUAAUGUUAAUCCCCAAGACCAUGGGGAAAAUGUCUCCAAGCCAUGUCAGAGACCUUCACAGCAGCCCCUCCCAUCACAGGCCCAGAGGCCCAGGAGGAAAAAGCAGUUUGGUGGGCUGGCCCAGGGUCCUCGUGCUGUGUGCAGCCGAGGGACUUGGUGCCGUGGGUCCCAACUGCUCCAGCUGUGGCUGAAAGGGGCCAAUGUACAGCUCAGGAUGUGACUUCAGAGGGUGGAAGCCCCAAGUCUCAGUAGCUUCCAUGUGGUGUUGAGCCUGCAGGUGCACAGAAGUCAAGAAUUGAGGUUUGGGAACCUCCACCUAUAUUUCAGAAGAUAUAUGGAAACUCCUGGAUGCCCAGGCAAAAGUUUGCUGCAGGUGCAGGGCCCUCAUGGAGAACCUCUGCUAGGGCAGUGCAGAAGGGAAAUGUGGGGUUAGAGGCCGCACACAGAGUCCCUAAUGGAGUGCUGCCAGGUGGAGCUGUGAGAAGAGGGCCACUGUCCUCCAGACCCCAGAAUGGUAGUUCCACUGACAGCUUGGAUCAUGCACCUGGAAAAGCCGCAGACACUCAACACCAGCCUGUGAAAGCAGCCAAGAGGGAGGCUGUACCCUCCAAAGCCACAGGGUGGAGCUGCCCAAGACCAUGGGAACCCACCUCUUGCAUCAGCGUAACCUGGAUGUGAGGCCUGGAGUUAAAGAAGAUCAUUUUGGAGCUUUAAAGUUUGACUGUCCUGCUGGACUUUGGACUUGCAUGCCCCCUGUAGCCCCUUUGUUUUGGCCAAUUUCUCCCAUUUGAAACGGCUGUGUUUACCCAAUACCUGUACCCCCAUUGUAUCUAGGAAGUAACUAACUUGCUUUUGAUUUUACAGGCUUAUAAGCGCAGGGACUUGCCUUGUCUCAGAUGAGACUUUGGACUGUGGACUUUUGGGUUAAUGCUGAAAUGAGUUAAGACUCUGGGAGACUAUUGGGAAGGCAUGGUUGGUUUUGAAAUGUGAGGAUAUGAGACUUGGAGGCGCCAGGGGUGGAAUGAUAUGGUUUGGCUGUGUCCCCACUAAAUCUCAGCUUGAAUGGU
rnacentral:sRNA from 1 species